CGGCCGCGGUAUCCUGACCGUGCAAAGGUAGCAUAAUCAUUUGUUCCUUAAUUAGGGACUUGUAUGAAUGGCCCCACGAGGGUUUGACUGUCUCUUACUUUUAAUCAGUGAAAUUGACCUCCCCGUGAAGAGGCGGGGAUAUGAAAAUAAGACGAGAAGACCCUAUGGAGCUUAAAUUAAUAUAUUCUGAAUAUAAAAUUUUGGUUGGGGUGACCUCGGAGAAUAAACAAGCCUCCGAACUAAGACUAACCCGUCAAAGUCAAUCCUAUUGAUCAACGAAACAAGUUACCCUAGGGAUAACAGCGCAAUCCUAUUUGAGAGUUCAUAUCGACAAUAGGGUUUACGACCUCGAUGUUGGAUCAGGACACCCUAAUGGUGCAGCAGCU
rnacentral:rRNA from 1 species